AGAGCGAACGCUGGCGGCAGGCCUAACACAUGCAAGUCGAACGGACCCUUCGGGGUUAGUGGCGGACGGGUGAGUAACACGUGGGAACGUGCCUUUAGGUUCGGAAUAGCUCCUGGAAACGGGUGGUAAUGCCGAAUGUGCCCUUCGGGGGAAAGAUUUAUCGCCUUUAGAGCGGCCCGCGUCUGAUUAGCUAGUUGGUGGGGUAAUGGCCCACCAAGGCUACGAUCAGUAGCUGGUCUGGAGAGGACGACCAGCCACACUGGAACUGAGACACGGUCCAGACUCCUACGGGAGGCAGCAGUGGGGAAUUUUGGGACAAUGGGCGCAAGCCUGAUCCAGCAAUG
rnacentral:rRNA from 1 species